rnacentral:rRNA from 1 species
GACGAACGCUGGCGGCGUGCUUAACACAUGCAAGUCGAACGAAGUGGCGAACGGGUGAGUAAUACGUGGGAACCUGCCUGGUAGUGGGGGAUAACGUCCGGAAACGGGCGCUAAUACCGCAUACUAUCAGAUGAGCCUAGGUCGGAUUAGCUAGGUGUUGGGUGAAAGGCCUACCAAGGCGACGAUCCGUAACUGGUCUGAGAGGAGGAUCAGUAACACUGGAACUGAGACAGUGUCCAGACUCCUAAGUGAGGCAGCAGUGGGGAAUAUUGGGCAAUGGGCGAAAGCAUGAUCCAGCCAUGCCGCGUGUGUGAAGAAGGUCUUCGGAUUGUAAAGCACUUUAGGUUGGGAGGCGUUACCAACAGAAUAAGCACCGGCUAACUUCGUGCCAGCCGCCGCGGUAAUUC